rnacentral:rRNA from 1 species
GUGGGGAAUCUUAGACAAUGGGCGCAAGCCUGAUCUAGCCAUGCCGCGUGAGUGAUGAAGGCCCUAGGGUUGUAAAGCUCUUUCAGCUGGGAAGAUAAUGACGGUACCAGCAGAAGAAGCCCCGGCUAACUCCGUGCCAGCAGCCGCGGUAAUACGGAGGGGGCUAGCGUUGUUCGGAAUUACUGGGCGUAAAGCGCGCGUAGGCGGACUGAAAAGUUGGGGGUGAAAUCCCGGGGCUCAACCUCGGAACUGCCUUCAAAAAUAUCAGUCUGGAGUUCGAGAGAGGUGAGUGGAAUUCCGAGUGUAGAGGGGAAAUUCGUAGAUAUUCGGAGGAACACCAGUGGCGAAGGCGGCUCACUGGCUCGAUACUGACGCUGAGGUGCGAAAGCGUGGGGAGCAAACAGGAUUAGAAACCCUUGUAGUCC